UUAGCCUCAUUUCGGUUCCACUCCUAUUCGAACCAAUCUCACAGUUCUACUCUCUUCCUUGUUCUUUUUUGGGGUUCCGUGGUGCAAUGUUUGGAUCGUUGUUGUGUAAAUCAGGGGGAACUCUGGAAAGGGCAACUGCCAUCAUCAUCAAUGGAGAAUCUUCUUCUUCAUCAUCAUUAGCAGCUAAGUAUUCUUUUCCCUUUACAUUUCAAAAUCAAAAUGUUUUCGUAAUUUCAAAAUCUAGGGUUACUUGAACCUUCUCCCCCUUCUCUACUACUACUACUAGUUACAGUAAUAGUGACGUUACUUCUUCUUCUGAUUAUGGUUCUGAAUUUGUUGCUUCAUAUCUUAUUAAUUCAUGUGGAUUUACCCAAGACAAAGCUAUUUCUGCUUCUAAAAAACUCAAUUUCAAAACCACUUCUAAUCCAGAUUCAGUUAUUUCCCUAUAUAAAACAUAUGGAUUUACUCACAUUUCUAAACUAAUCAAUAAGUCUCCAUUCAUCCACUCAUUUAAUCCUCAUAAAACCGUAAAACUCAAACUAGAUUUCUUGAAUUCUAAAGGAAUUUAUGAUACUGAGCUUGCCAACUUAUUCCCGAUGUACCCAGCAUUCCUGAGACAAUGAAUAAUCCCUGUAUUUGAUAUUCUCAAGAGCCUUGUUCGAAAAACGUAAGUAGAUUGAUUAGACGAAAUAGGCUGGUCAGCAUAAACCAAGUUAAAGGAGUUGUGAUCAACAUUGAGCUUUUAAGAGAAGAAGGCGUCCCUGAAUCUAAUAUUUCUAAGUAUUUAAUCUUUGGACCAGGAGAUUUUGCUGGAGAUGCCCAUAAAUUCAAAGGGAUUGUAGAAAAGGUUAAAGGAACGGGUUUUGACCAUUUACAAACCAAGUUUCUUAUAGCUAUACAUGGAUUGGCAUCUAUGAGUGAAGUCAAUUGGAAGAAGAAAAUGGAGCUGUACAAGAGAUGGGUUGGUCUGAGGAUCAAAUUCAAUCAGUUGUUGCUGAAAACCCAAAAGUUUUUGAUCAUAGAUUGAAGGAGAGGAUAAUCCCAAGGUGUUCAUUUUAGUCUCCAGAGGUCUGAUCAAGGAAAAAAUUGCUAUCGGCACAUUCGCAAAAGCAGUAGACAAGUAUUUUUUGGAGAAGUUUGUAAUAAAGUAUGAGCAAGAAGUUCCUGAACUAAUGUAGAUAUUCCAAGGUCAGUUGAGUUACCAACAGCUGCUUCAGAACUGAAGUAUUUUAUGAGAUGAAUGCGCAGAACCGGAUUCAUGAUUUUUGAUUGCGAAACUAAUGGAUCUAUACUUCGGGCAGGGAAUGCCUCGAUUGAGAGAAAGGAAGCGUAUAUUGGUUCUAUGUGUUGUCUGGCAACAUGGUACAAUAGAAAAUUGGAUAUAUGAAAGCUUCACUUAGAUUCGUUCUACGCUCCAUUCCGAUAUCUAUUAUUUUAAAAGUCUACUGUCCUGCAACCACUGAAUGGCCUUUGCGCAAUAAGCUAUCAUAUUGUGAUUGGCUAUUGGCAAUCAGUCCUAGUUCCACCUCCUGCAGCAUCAACAUAAACUGUCAUUGCUGCUAGCAGAACUGGGUGGCUUCAUGGACAGGCUGUUGCAAAAGCUGCCAAGGAAGAGAAAGCACAAAUCUGGUAAUCAUAUUGUCUGCUUUACUGUUUUGGUUUUUCCGAGUAUCAUGAGUUAACCUACCUAGAUCGACAUUAAAAGUGACUGGCAGAUUGGUUACUUUGAGGUUUUAUUCAGUUGAUAGACCAAUGUAAGUCUCAGAUAUAAAAACCUACAAUCAACAGUUUAUUCUUUCUUGAUAGAUCUUGUGAAUACUCAUACAUUCACAGAAAACCUUAUUGUGGAUUGAUUUUGAGUUUUUGUUUAGCAAGUUGGAGUUUUUGUGGCAGUGUGAGAUAGAAGUUGGUGCACUAAGACAAAGUUCUGAUUUUGUUGCAUUCUGAGAGAGUGUGGAUCUUUCCUCACUUAGGAAGCGUUAGCUGCCACUAAGGAUUUGGCAUUUGAUUUUGGUGAACUAGUGGGGAAAACCUUAGAGAAAUUAGAGAUGGAUCAGUAAUGUUAAUAGGCGUCGAUGAAAUUAAUAUUAAGGUUGAUAGGCACCCUGCGGAAUAGUCCAAGAUUGAUCAGUACCCAUCCUAAGGUGAAUGCUAAGAAAACACACUAGUCCAUCCAUUCUGUAUGGCUAUGUGACUAAGAAUUAACCACCAACUUUAAAUACUAACUCCAACAUUUCAGUUGACUGUAUAUGCAUAAUUCAACCAUAUUCAACAAUUUGAGCAAGGCAUUUCAGCAGGAAAAAACUUCAGGGUAUAAAGUUGGAUGUGGUCUAAAUGAUUAAAAAUAGACCUACCAACAGAUAUCAUUGUGCUGCUUCUUUGGUACCUGUUAGAAGAACCAAUUGUAAAUGUUUUAUUACAGCUAUGAACAUGCAUUCGCUCCCACAAGCAAGACUUACACAUAAGAUACUGAGUGCAGUAGCUCCUGGAAGUUAUCGGCUGAAUAUCUGUGUUCAUCCAAGGUUGCCCCCACCAAAUAUUUCGCUGCGCUCGGCAAACUAUAACUCUUCUACCGUCCCGCAACCACUGAAUGGCCUUCGCUUAGUUGUCAUAUUGUAGCUAUUGGCAAUCCGUCAGAGUUCCGCCUCCUGCAGCAUCAACAUAAUUGUCAUUGCUGCUAGGAGAACUGGGCGUCUCCAUGGACAGGCUGUUGCAAGAGCUGCCAGGGCAGACAAAACACAAGUCUGAUGGUCAUAUUGUCUGUUUUGCUGUUUUAGUUUAUACGAGCAUCAUGAGUUAAUCUUCCUAGAUUGAUAUUGAGAGUUACUGUCAGAAGGGUUAUUUUGAAGUUUUAUUUAGAUAAUAGACCAAUGUAAGUCUUAGAUAUUUAAACCUACAACCAACAAUUAAUUCAUUCUUAAUAAAUCUUGUGACCCUAUUGUGGAUUGAUUUUGAAUUUUUUUUGAAAAGUAUGUUAGGAGUCUGUGUGAGAUUGAAGUUUUGUGCACUAAGAGAAAGUUCUGAUUUAGUUGCAUUUUGAGAAAGUGCAGGUCUUGCCUCACUUAGGAAGCGUCAGCUGCCACUCUAGAUUGGGCAUUUGAUUUUUGCUGAAACUAGUGAGAGAAAAAAAAUGAAUGUCUCAGAGAUGAAGCACUGCCAGUUUCUAGGUAUUGCACACUGCUGCAGUGAUAUGUAGUCCACAAAACACAUGGAAAUCUUAGAGAGGUGGACUCUGUAAGGUUGAU